rnacentral:rRNA from 1 species
CAGUCGCCGCGGUAAUACGUAGGUGGCAAGCGUUGUCCGGAAUUAUUGGGCGUAAAGCGAGCGCAGGCGGUUAGAUAAGUCUGAAGUUAAAGGCUGUGGCUUAACCAUAGUACGCUUUGGAAACUGUUUAACUUGAGUGCAGAAGGGGAGAGUGGAAUUCCAUGUGUAGCGGUGAAAUGCGUAGAUAUAUGGAGGAACACCGGUGGCGAAAGCGGCUCUCUGGUCUGUCACUGACGCUGAGGCUCGAAAGCGUGGGUAGCGAACAGGAUUAGAUACCCCCGUAGUCCCUGUCUCUUAUACC